rnacentral:rRNA from 1 species
UGGGGAAUUUUCCGCAAUGGGGGAAAGCCUGACGGAGCAACGCCGCGUGAGGGAAGAAGGCCUUUGGGCUGUAAACCUCUUUUAUCAAGGAAGAAGAUCUGACGGUACCUGAUGAAUAAGCCACGGCUAAUUCCGUGCCAGCAGCCGCGGUAAUACGGGAGUGGCAAGCGUUAUCCGGAAUUAUUGGGCGUAAAGCGUCCGCAGGCGGCCCUUCAAGUCUGCUGUUAAAAAGUGGAGCUUAACUCCAUCAUGGCAGUGGAAACUGUUGGGCUUGAGUGUGGUAGGGGCAGAGGGAAUUCCCGGUGUAGCGGUGAAAUGCGUAGAUAUCGGGAAGAACACCAGUGGCGAAGGCGCUCUGCUGGGCCAUCACUGACGCUCAUGGACGAAAGCCAGGGGAGCGAAAGGGAUUAGAUACCCCUGUAGUCCUGGCCGUAAACGAUGAACACUAGGUGUCGGGGGAAUCGACCCCCUCGGUGUCGCAGCCAACGC